AGAGUUUGAUCAUGGCUCAGAUUGAACGCUGGCGGAAUGCUUUACACAUGCAAGUCGAACGGCAGCACGGGGGCAACCCUGGUGGCGAGUGGCGAACGGGUGAGUAAUACAUCGGAACGUGCCCAUGUCGUGGGGGAUAACGUAGCGAAAGCUACGCUAAUACCGCAUACGAUCUACGGAUGAAAGCGGGGGAUCGCAAGACCUCGCGCGAUUGGAGCGGCCGAUGGCAGAUUAGGUAGUUGGUGGGGUAAAGGCUCACCAAGCCAACGAUCUGUAGCUGGUCUGAGAGGACGACCAGCCACACUGGGACUGAGACACGGCCCAGACUCCUACGGGAGGCAGCAGUGGGGAAUUUUGGACAAUGGGCGAAAGCCUGAUCCAGCCAUUCCGCGUGCAGGAUGAAGGCCCUCGGGUUGUAAACUGCUUUUGGACGGAACGAAAAGCCUUCUUCUAAUACAGGAGGGUCAUGACGGUACCGUCAGAAUAAGCACCGGCUAACUACGUGCCAGCAGCCGCGGUAAUACGUAGGGUGCAAGCGUUAAUCGGAAUUACUGGGCGUAAAGCGUGCGCAGGCGGUUAUGUAAGACAGAUGUGAAAUCCCCGGGCUCAACCUGGGAACUGCAUUUGUGACUGCAUAGCUAGAGUACGGUAGAGGGGGAUGGAAUUCCGCGUGUAGCAGUGAAAUGCGUAGAUAUGCGGAGGAACACCGAUGGCGAAGGCAAUCCCCUGGACCUGUACUGACGCUCAUGCACGAAAGCGUGGGGAGCAAACAGGAUUAGAUACCCUAGUAGUCC
rnacentral:rRNA from 1 species